CUUUGGAACACACUCUGGGAUGCACGGUCGCCCGUUCCUGUGACGCCAUGCAGCUGCUGGCCAAGCAAGGCACUUUGUGCGGUGACGGACUGCUCCUGGAAGAAAAUGAGGACAAUAGCUUCAAUGCCACAUUAAUAAGCUACAACAAACACAACAGAUUGAUUGCGAGGAGUUGGUGCUCCUUCAUCUCCUCCCUCAGCCAGGAGAUGUCAGCGAGAUUUCUUGUGCCAAUGAUGCACAGUGAGGAGGUGGUGCGGCCUUGUGGCGUGUUUG